rnacentral:sRNA from 1 species
UCAUAGCUGAUGUUCCACAGGAGAGGGC